GAAGAUAAUCAGCAUUCCUACUAAAACUUUAUUAGGUAACUGAUCAUAUUAUUUAGUACUUUCUUCUUUGUAUAGUCCAAUACAUGCUAAACUCAUAGAUAAGCUUUAAUAUUUGGUUUUAGCAUCUCAUGUGCAAGCAGCUAACUCAAUGAAGGAGAAACAAAAGGUUGUACAGAGCAAUAUAGUGUCAUUUAGCACCAACAGAAGGUAAGAAUUGUAUUUAAAAAACGAAAAUAUGCAAUGGCCAGAAGAUCCUAGGCCGAACACAUCCUUACAUUUGUGUGUGUGUGUGUGUGUGUGUGUGAGUGAAAGAGAGAGAGAGUCAUAAUACGGAGAAACGUAAACAUGCAUUGAUGCACCGCCUCUUGAAACUAAAUAUGAAAAUUCCACUAAGGUGAUCUACUACCCACCGCUAUCUCGAUUGCUUCAUAUGAAAUCUAGAAGAGUAACCCUGUAUAGAUGGAAGGGAUGGUCUCAUAGGUUCAUUGUGCUCACUGAAAGUAUGCUACAUAAAAGCCAAGCCCUCGAGAGUGCUGACGUUAAGCACACUUGCAUCCAUUAAAAAGUGUUUUUAAGAAAAUUUCACUGGGGCUAGACCAGAAAGUACUUUUUACUUUUUAAUAUAAUUCAUACAAACACCCACUUAAGUUAGUUUCGUCAUUCGUGGGAGCAUAACCUGAAAAGAAAAGUAAAACAGUGCCGUAUUUUAAAGGUAAGAUCAUCAAGCUACAGCUCAUUUGAGGCUUUGAGCAACUGACAAAGUGACUGAAAUACAGUAUAUUAGAUGUAAAUUGAACAUUUAAAUUGAAUUGUUUCUAUUAAAACCUCUUGAGGACAAUAAGAAGCUAAAACUAAAACAUUAGGCACCGUAGGAUAGCAGGGUUUAAGGAGUUAGGCAGAAUUACCUUCUGCACCACAAAAGCAAAUUUAGCCUAUGCCCAGAUGUGGUAGCUCUAGCUCCAUGACGAUGUCGACCACGGUGAAUAACAGCCCGACCUGGGACAUGGGAGUAAUCCAAAACUUCCUACAAGCAUUUAAACUCAAAAUAAGUCUUCAACCAACAAUAGUUGCAGAAUAAAGUAUAUUAACUACUAAAAUACUUGUACAAUGAACUAACUGGUUUACAGAGAAAUAUGUCUCAGUCUGACAGUGGUUUGCAACAUCUCAGACAUUUAUACCACAUUUUAACCCAGUUAGAUUGAAGAAAAUGAAGACAAAUCAAGGAGAAAUCACAUAGCAGAGCAACAUAAUAGAAACAGCAUCCCACCCUAUGCUCAUUAUUAGCAAAGUCUUUUCCUCACUGACUUUAGCGGAGGGAGGGGGUAGGCCCACAUUCACAGGUCUUCUUAACAUUUGUUUUAUGAAAAGGAAAUUUCACCACUAAUUUCAAAGGCACUCAGGUAGCUAAUAUAUAUAAAUAUCAUUCUGCAACAAGGAUCAUAACUGAGAGUCUGAGAGGGUAGUAUAAUAUCAAAGAAACAUAAUUAUCUUCAUAUAAAGUAGAUCUGGAAAAUAGGCUCAUAUACCUCUGAUUGAGUUCCUGUGUUGACAUGCUUCUCACACCGCACCCCACGAAAAAACAGCUCACCACCAGUAAAUUGUUUCCCCACACACACAUUUAAGGUGACUUCUGAGUCAUCCACGUGAAAACCUGGCAACGCAAACUUCUUCAGAACUUCAAGAUUAUGAAAACAUGGAUAAUGUAUUUCCAAAGAGAUUUUGGGACAAUAGAGAUAAAAGAUUGGACUUCUAGACCGGCAUAGACCAUCUUCAAAACUUACCCGAGAAUUGUACAUAUAAAGGCCGUUCUAAGAGGACAGUGAAAAAAAAUAUCAUUGUAUGUUGUUCUCGUCACUGAAAUGUCAGGAGCGGACACUCACACAUAUAACUCAAUAACCUCUACUAAAAAUAGAAUUAGAAUCUGAGUUCAAUACGAAAAGCACUAAGAAAAACCACCCAUAUAUUUAUGAUGGCGACUGUCACGAUAGAUACAUCACAAAUCUGUUGAUGCACGACCAACCUAGAUAAUGAACUCAGAUAUGUGCCUUCCUAUUCUACUCUAUGUUAAGUGCUGUGACCUUCUAAUUAAAUAAACACACAGAUGAAUUAUUAAAUGGAGCACUAACCAAGGUCAACGUCCCUAUCAAUUCCAUACUCGACAACAAAGCCAUGAUGAGAAUCAAGUGUUGAUCCACCAACUUCCGGAAAGAAAACUGUAAAGAAGUCAUAUUGGAAUAAUAGAGUACAUUAAUAGACCUCAUACAUCAUCAUUAAGACAGUUCCCAUAAAUUUUAAUUACUCCAAAUGUCAUAAAAUUUAUUACCUCUAGAUAUAGGUUGUAUGAAAUCUUCCAUUAACCUGUCAAGCAUCGUUUCCAAGCCAAAGUCAUCAAGAACAGCACCAUAUUUGUUCAUGGUAUUUGGUCGCAUUAUUCUGAACUUGGUCUCACGGACCCAUUUUUCAAAAUUAUCAACCUAUGCAAUCAGAACCUGAUAAGAAAACAUAGAAGCUAAACUACAAGAGAGCUGUGAUUGCAACAUGAAGAGCGAAGGCUAGUCGCUACCUCUGCUAAAAGCAUUUCACAAAAGCGUGGCUGCAGCAGUUCAAAAGUUAAAAUUCCUGGUGAAGGUUCAGUGAUUAUUUUNUAAUACGGAGAAACGUAAACAUGCAUUGAUGCACCGCCUCUUGAAACUAAAUAUGAAAAUUCCACUAAGGUGAUCUACUACCCACCGCUAUCUCG
rnacentral:lncRNA from 1 species